rnacentral:ribozyme from 1 species
AAGGGGUUAAGUUCUGUAAAAAGGGUUGGAUCCGCCGCCUUUUGAAGGCUGCUAUGGGAUCUCCUUCUCAACUCCUACUCAAUACGUCCACGACGUGCAGAAUGGUAACUUGUCGCCUAGAUAUCCAAGCUUGGGUACACGGGAAAACCCACCCCGUUGGGCGGAUGGGCGGUAACACUGAAUUGAGAGGG